UUUCUUAAGAGUCGGGGUGUUGGGAAUGCAGCCCUAAUCUGGUGGUAAUCCCAUCUAAGGCUAAAUAUUGGCGAGAGACCGAUAGCGAACAAGUACCGCGAGGGAAAGAUGAAAAGAACUUUGAAAAGAGAGUUAAAAAGUGCUUGAAAUUGUUGAGGGGGAAGCGAUUGGCAGCUGUGUGUGCACCCAGGCUUACGCCGCCUUAACGGGCGGCUGCAUGUGCUGGGUGCUGGUCAGCAUGGGCUAGCCUGGCAGGAUAAACGCAGGGGUUGCUACUCUGUCUAUACUGCCGGGUUGGCCGAGGUAUGAAGGCCGCUCUUGUCCCUCGGGAUCUGCGGCCUCAAGAUGCUGGCGGAAGGCUUUCAAUCGGCCCGUCUUGAAACACGGACCAAGGAGUCUAACAUGUAUGCGAGCUGGUGGGUGGCAAACCCAUGAGGCGCAAGUAACCUGACUGGUGGGAUGGCGUAAGCCUGCACCAUCGACCGACCAUGAUCUUCUGUGAAAGGUUCGAGUACGAGCAUACCUGUUGGGACCCGAAAGAUGGUGAACUAUGCCUGAGCAGGGCGAAGCCAGAGGAAACUCUGGUGGAGGCUCGUAGAUGUGCUGACGUGCAAAUCGCUUUUCGGACUUGGGUAUAGGGGCGAAAGACUAAUCGAACCAUCUAGUAGCUGGUUCCCUCCGAAGUUUCCCCCAGGAUAGCUGGAGCUUGAUCAGUUUUAUCGGGUAAAGCUAAUGAUUAGAGGUUCGGGGGAUGAAACAUCCUCCACCUAUUCUCAAACUUUAAAUAGGUAAGACGUGUGGGUUGCUUGAUUGAACCCAUGCAUUCAAUGAGAGCUCCAAGUGGGCCAUUUUUGGUAAGCAGAACUGGCGAUGCGGGAUGAACCGAUAGUCGAGUUAAGGUGCCAGACUACGCGCUAACCUAGUCCACAAACGUG
rnacentral:rRNA from 1 species